rnacentral:rRNA from 1 species
UAGCGCGUGGGUAACCUGCCUCAUACAGGGGGAUAACAGUUAGAAAUGACUGCUAAUACCGCAUAAGCGCACAGUGCUGCAUGGCACAGUGUGAAAAACUCCGGUGGUAUGAGAUGGACCCGCGUCUGAUUAGCUAGUUGGUGGGGUAACGGCCUACCAAGGCGACGAUCAGUAGCCGGCCUGAGAGGGUGAACGGCCACAUUGGGACUGAGACACGGCCCAA